rnacentral:rRNA from 1 species
CCUACGGGUGGCAGCAGUGGGGGAUAUUGCACAAUGGGGGAAACCCUGAUGCAGCGACGCCGCGUGAGUGAAGAAGUAUUUCGGUAUGUAAAGCUCUAUCAGCAGGGAAGAAAAUGACAGUACCUGACCAAGAAGCCCCGGCUAACUACGUGCCAGCAGCCGCGGUAAUACGUAGGGGGCAAGCGUUAUCCGGAAUCACUGGGUGUAAAGGGAGCGUAGACGGCUGUGCAAGCCUGAAGUGAAAGGCGGGGGCCCAACCCCUGGACUGCUUUGGGAACUGUACGGCUGGAGUGCAGGAGAGGUAAGUGGAAUUCCUAGUGUAGCGGUGAAAUGCGUAGAUAUUAGGAGGAACACCAGUGGCGAAGGCGGCUUACUGGACUGUAACUGACGUUGAGGCUCGAAAGCGUGGGGAGCAAACAGGAUUAGAUACCCGGGUAGUC